AAUAGGAGCAUGACAAAUUAGAUUUUUCUUCUUGAUUUUCAACUUUUUCCUCCUAAAAAAUUCAAAUCUAACUAAAAAUGCUAAAAAUCAAGAGAAAUAUUUAAUUUGUCAUACUCUUAUU
rnacentral:pre_miRNA from 1 species